rnacentral:lncRNA from 1 species
AGUAUCUCAAGGAAGACUACAGCUUCACGGCUUAUGCUACCAUCUCGUAUCUGAAGGUGGGACCCAGAGCUAGUCUUCUUAGCAACGAAGGCCAUGCUGUCACUAUGCAAGUGAAGAGGUCCACACAGAGCAGCGUUAGGGCUGCGUCACCUGAAGCUUGUGAAGUGGAUUCAAAGGGGAAAGAAAAGAGCUCAGAUAGAAACAGUAAGUCGACAGUAAUGAAUGUAUCAGCAAGAAGGCUCUGCACAAUCUGCACUCUGAUCUAAGUAAACCGAGACAGCAAGCCUCCUGAAACCCCAGCCUUACUAUGAUGUUCAGGCAAACAAAGGAUCUGGUGCUUUGUAUGAGUCAAGGUUUAUUGUCAACUGUGUACUAGGAGUGUUCAUCUGCAAAUCAGUCAUUAAAUGGAUCCAUCCUAA